rnacentral:rRNA from 1 species
CCUACGGGUGGCAGCAGUGAGGAAUAUUGGUCAAUGGCCGGAAGACUGAACCAGCCAAGUCGCGUGAGGGACGAAUGUCCAGUGGGUUGUAAACCUCUUUUAUCAGGGAAGAAAAACUGCGACGUGUCGCAGGAUGCGUGUACCUGAAGAAAAAGCAUCGGCUAACUCCGUGCCAGCAGCCGCGGUAAUACGGAGGAUGCGAGCGUUAUCCGGAUUUAUUGGGUUUAAAGGGUGCGGAGGCGGUUUGUUAAGUCAGUGGUGAAAGGCCGGGGCUCAACCCUGUUCUGCCGUUAAAACUGUGAGACGCGAGUUGGAAAGAAGUAUGCGGAAUGAG